GUCAGCCGCCGCGGUAACACCGGCGGCCCGAGUGGUGAUCGUGAUUAUUGGGUCUAAAGGGUCCGUAGCCGGUUUGGUCAGUCCUCCGGGAAAUCUGAUAGCUCAACUAUUAGGCUUUCGGGGGAUACUGCCAGACUUGGAACCGGGAGAGGUAAGAGGUACUACAGGGGUAGGAGUGAAAUCUUGUAAUCCCUGUGGGACCGCCUGUGGCGAAGGCGUCUUACCAGAACGGGUUCGACGGUGAGGGACGAAAGCUGGGGGCACGAACCGGAUUAGAUACCCGGGUAGUCCCAGCCGUAAACGAUGCUCGCUAGGUGUCAGGCAUGGCGCGACCGUGUCUGGUGCCGCAGGGAAGCCGUGAAGCGAGCCACCUGGGAAGUACGGCCGCAAGGCUGAAACUUAAAGGAAUUGGCGGGGGAGCACAACAACGGGUGGAGCCCUGCGGUUUAAUUGGACUCAACGCCGGACAACUCACCGGGGGCGACAGCAAUAUGUAGGCCAAGCUGAAGACUUUGCCUGAAUCGCUGAGAAGUGGUGCAUGG
rnacentral:rRNA from 1 species